AGCGAAACUUACUGAAGUUCAGAAAUUAUUUCCUCUUUGGUAUGAAAUCUCUUCAAUAUAGCAUUAUUUUACAGAUAAAGCGCUAAACAUGCUUUUUAAGUUUGUUUGCCGAUUGAGAAACGUAUCGAAAUUUAAAAAUUUUGAAUGUAGUCACAACCAUUUGUCAUAACCAAGUUUGAACGUAACACACGAAAUAAUGUGCUUUUAAUUCUUUCAGAAAACUGAUACGGAUUGCAACAAUCUAACAUUGGAACAUCACAUGCUAGCCCCAGUACAACGUGUCCCACGCUACAAACUGCUGUUAACAGGUAUGACGUGCUUGCACAUUGUAUAUGCGUUUUGCGUCCUAACUACCUGAUAACUUGAAGCUAUACUGCACACACAAAAAUCUCACAUCUUGUAGCAAGUCUGCCAACAAGCCGUCAACAAGUUGUGUUCGCACUGCUUGUCUCAAGUUGUCAACAAGUUUGGAACAAGCUGUUAACAACUUGUAACAAACUUGAUGGCAUUAUCAGACUCGUUACAAGGUUGUUCCAACAAGUCCGAUACAGUCAUGAUAUAACAACAUUGUUACAAGCUUGUGUCGUCAACCUUGUAACAUUCUUGUUAUAUCAUGACUGUGUCAGACUUGUUAGAACAACCUUGUAACAAGUCUGAUAAUGUCAUCAAGCGUGUUGCAAGUUGUUAACAAUAAACAGCUUGUUCCAAACUUGUUACAACAACUGGGAACAAGCAGUGCGAACACAACGUGUCGACACCUUGUGAACAGAUUUGUAACAACUUGUUUGCAGACCUGGAACAACUUGUGCGUUUUUAUGUAUGUACUACACAGGUAAAAAUCUCACAACUUGUCAACAAGAUGUGUUCGCAACAGGCUUGUAGCAAGCUUGUCAACAAGUUGUAACAAUGCUGUUAUUUCAUCAAGUUGCUACAAGGUUGUCACUCACAAUUUGUUGACAAAUUGUUGAAUUGCUGGACGAUAACAAGUUGUUGGAACAACUUGUAACAAGUCUGUUGAGCUCAACAAUCUUGUAGCAAGUUGCCAACAAGCCGUUGACAACUUGUCAACAAGCUGGGAACAAGCAGUGCGAACACAUCCUGUUGACAAGUUGUUGGAACAGCAUUGCUACAAGUCUGCUGCAGGUUUGUUCCAACUUGUGCGUUUUUACGCGUGUACACCACUAAAUAUAUUUAAAACCAAAACGUCGAAAUGUUUUCAAUCUUUUCGCAGGUGGUUUCGACAUAACCCACGACAGCUUAAUGUUUCUUUCUGAGUCAGUUAGAUGUUUCAUAAAGUGUUUAGAUUAUGAUGCUUGUGAUGCUACUCUGAGUGUAUAUCCACACUGGGCAAGCUUGAAAAAUAUGCCUGACCACGGUGGGAAUCGAACCUACGACCUUUGGAAUACUAGCCCAAUAUUCCAAAGGUCGUAGGUUCGAUUCCCACCGUGGUCAGGCAUAUUUGUCAAGCUUGCCCGGUGUGGAUAUACACUCAGAGUAACAUCACAAGCAUCAUAUUCACCUGAGCACAUUACACCAACACAGAAAAAAUUCAUGAUUACUAGAUUACAUUGAUAUCGAAGGAACUAGACUCAGUUCCGAAAUAUCGCAUACUCGAACCGACCUGACCGCGUAGCUCAGUCGGCACAGCAAAAAGAAAAUUGGGCUAGUAUUCCAAAGGUCGUAGGUUCGAUUCCCACCGUGGCCAGGCAUAUUUUUCAAGCUUGCCCGGUGUGGAUAUACACUCAGACUAACAUCACAAACAUCGUAUGCACCUGAGUACAUUACACCAACACAGAAAAAAUUCAUGUUUAGAUUAUGUUUCAAAGUUGCCUGAAGAUUCGUCAGAUAUAGAAGAGUCAAAAAGUAAGUUAUGAUGUGAAGGUUUUUUUAACAACAAUGGUAGUUUUAUUCCAGGUUUCAAUGCCAUUCCCCCCUUUCUAGAAUCUUUGGAAAUCAUUUCUGCCGCGGCAAACCACGCCAACGAAAGUAUGAAGAAAACUGUGAG